rnacentral:rRNA from 1 species
GAUGAACGCUGGCGGCGUGCUUAACACAUGCAAGUCGAACGGAAAGGCCCAAGCUUGCUUGGGUACUCGAGUGGCGAACGGGUGAGUAACACGUGGGUGAUAUGCCCUGCACUUCGGGAUAAGCCUGGGAAACUGGGUCUAAUACCGGAUAGGACCACAUUUUGGAUGGUGUGGUGGAAAGUUUUUCGGUGUGGGAUGAGCUCGCGGCCUAUCAGCUUGUUGGUGGGGUAAUGGCCUACCAAGGCGUCGACGGGUAGCCGGCCUGAGAGGGUGUACGGCCACAGUGGGACUGAGAUACGGCCCAGACUCCUACGGGAGGCAGCAGGGGGGAAUAUUGCACAAUGGGCGCAAGCCUGAUGCAGCGACGCCGCGUGGGGGAUGACGGCCUUCGGGUUGUAAACUCCUUUCGCUAGGGACGAAGCGUUAUGUGACGGUACCUGGAGAAGAAGCACCGGCUAACUACGUG